rnacentral:tRNA from 1 species
GUGAACAUAAUUUAACCAAAAUCCUAGGUUGUGAUCCUAGACAUGGACGAUAAUCCCCUCCUGUUCACC